UGAGGUGUAGCCAAGUGGUAAGGCACUGGUCUUUGGAGCCGGCAUUCCCAGGUUCGAAUCCUGGCACCUCAA